rnacentral:rRNA from 1 species
UGGGGAAUAUUGCACAAUGGGGGGAACCCUGAUGCAGCCAUGCCGCGUGAAUGAAAAAGGCCUUCGGGUUGUAAAGUUCUUUCGGUGACGAGGAAGGUUGGUAGGUUAAUAGCCUAUCAAAUUGACGUUAAUCACAGAAGAAGCACCGGCUAACUCCGUGCCAGCAGCCGCGGUAAUACGGGGGGUGCGAGCGUUAAUCGGAAUAACUGGGCGUAAAGGGCACGCAGGCGGUGACUUAAGUGAGAUGUGAAAGCCCCGAGCUUAACUUGGGAAUUGCAUUUCAUACUGGGUCGCUAGAGUACUUUAGGGAGGGGUAGAAUUCCACGUGUAGCGGUGAAAUGCGUAGAGAUGUGGAGGAAUACCGAAGGCGAAGGCAGCCCCUUGGGAAUGUACUGACGCUCAUGUGCGAAAGCGUGGGGAGCAGACAGGAUUAGAUACCCUGGUAGUCCACGCUGUAAACGAUGUCGAUUUGGGGAUUGGGCUUUGAGCUUGGUGCCCGUAGCUAACGUGAUAAAUCGACCGCCUGGGGAGUACGGCCGCAAGGUUA